GUGUGCGCCCCCCCCAGCCAUAACCAUCAGUGGGGCUUACUCUGGACGUUGGGAAUGGUAGGCAACAUGUUAGCCAAAGGCUGUCUGGAAUGGUGACCCAGUUGUAUGCAAAUACAACUUUUAAUAUGAAAAGCUUUUCCUCUGCGGCAGAUGAUGACAAAGCUCCCUUUGAAUUGACUUUGUGUUGUCAGUGACCUCCAUGUACUGAAAACUUCAGUUAGCAUCAAAAAAGAGCCCUGAGCAGAAACUGGCACUUGAACAAUAACUUUUUGCUAAUGAGGAAAGAGAAAUGGAUACCAUGCACU